CUAGGGGCUAUCGGAUUACUGGGCGUAAGCGCACGCAGGCGGUCUGUCAAGUCGGAUGUGAAAUCCCCGGGCUCAACCUGGGAACUGCAUUCGAAACUGGCAGGCUAGAGUCUUGUAGAGGGGGGUAGAAUUCCAGGUGUAGCGGUGAAAUGCGUAGAGAUCUGGAGGAAUACCGGUGGCGAAGGCGGCCCCCUGGACAAAGACUGACGCUCAGGUGCGAAAGCGUGGGGAGCAAACAGGAUUAGAUACCCUGGUAGUCCACGCCGUAAACGAUGUCGAUUUGGAGGUUGUGCCCUUGAGGCGUGGCUUCCGGAGCUAACGCGUUAAAUCGACCGCCUGGGGAGUACGGCCGCAAGGUUAAAACUCAAAUGAAUUGACGGGGGCCCGCACAAGCGGUGGAGCAUGUGGUUUAAUUCGAUGCAACGCGAAGAACCUUACCUGGGUCUUGACAUCCACAGAACUUGCCAGAGAUGGUCUUGGUGCCUUCGGGAGCUGUGAGACAGGUGCUGCAUGUCUGUCGGUCAGCUCGUGAUGUGACAAUGUUGCGCUAAGGUCUCGCGACGGAGCGCAACCCAUUAUCCUUUGGUUGCCAGCGGUGCGGCCGGGCACUCAGAGGGAGACUGUCUAGUGAUAAACUGGCCGGAAGGCGGGGCAUGACGUCCAGUAAUUCACGGACCCUUACGUACUAGGCGUACGUGCACUGACUACGGUGGCCUAAUCCUAGGUGGCAUCCCCCUUCUUGUGAGACAUGGAGGCGACCUCUCAUAUGGUCCGGGGGGAUCCCGGAUUGGGAACCUGGUAUCUCUGCAACAUUUUAGAACGCCGAGUACACCCGCUGAACCCGGAAUUCCAACACCGCCUCUGAAAAAAUCUUCCCCCGGCUCUGUGUACAACUGGCGGCUUCUAAGCGUCAGGGCCGGGGGGUGUUUGCACAAAAGCAUGCUUGGGCUGGAUUCAGCCCUGCUCGGGGAGGCUUUCCUUC
rnacentral:rRNA from 1 species